rnacentral:rRNA from 1 species
AGUGAACGCUGGCGGUAGGCCUAACACAUGCAAGUCGAACGGCAGCACAGUAAGAGCUUGCUCUUACGGGUGGCGAGUGGCGGACGGGUGAGGAAUACAUCGGAAUCUACUUUUUCGUGGGGGAUAACGUAGGGAAACUUACGCUAAUACCGCAUACGACCUACGGGUGAAAGCAGGGGAUCUUCGGACCUUGCGCGAUUGAAUGAGCCGAUGUCGGAUUAGCUAGUUGGCGGGGUAAAGGCCCACCAAGGCGACGAUCCGUAGCUGGUCUGAGAGGCUGAUCAGCCACACUGGAACUGAGCCACGGUCCAGACUACUACGGGAGGCAGCAGUGGGGAAUAUUGGACAAAGGGCGCAAGCCUGAUCCAGCCAUACCGCGUGGGUGAAGAAGGCCUUCGGGUUGUAAAGCCCUUUUGUUGGGAAAGAAAAGCAGCAGGUUAAUACCCCGCUGUUCUGACGGUACCCAAAGAAUAAGCACCGGCUAACUUCGUG